GGGGGGGUUUUAGUACGUAAGCGCCAUGGAUGGCGAAUCGUGCAUGCUGCUACUAAGAACCAGCAAUAUCUUUUGACGAUUUUCUACCUC
rfam:Glossina pallidipes unplaced genomic scaffold Scaffold7, whole genome shotgun sequence.